CCCGCAUACGCCCUGGCUUCGCCUCCCAUUCUUAUUUGAGCCCCCCCCAAAUCACUCCAACUUGCACCCCAGAACAUCCCUUUGCAGGUCCCCCCUUUGCAGAUCUCCCAUUCUUAUUGGAGCCCCCCCAAAGUCACUCCAACUUGCACCCCAGAACAUCCCUUUGCAGGUCUCCCUUUUGCAGAUCUCCCAUUCUUAUUGGAGCCCCCCCAAAGUCACUCCAACUUGCACCCCAGA